rnacentral:rRNA from 1 species
UACGGGGGGGGCAAGCGUUGUUCGGAAUUACUGGGCGUAAAGGGCUCGUAGGCGCCAACUAAGUCAGACGUGAAAUCCCUCGGCUUAACCGGGGAACUGCGUCUGAUACUGGAUGGCUUGAGAUUGGGAGAGGGAUGCGGGAAUUCCAGGUGUAGCGGUGGAAAUGCGUAGAUAUCUGGAGGAACACCGGUGGCGAAGGCGGCAUCCUGGACCAACACUGACGCUGAGGAGCGAAAAGCCAGGGGGAGCAAACGGG